AAACAUGACAUUUUUCUCAGUUUGUGCAUCUUGGGUCAACACAAAGAGACAGAAUGCCUUCCUCCUGUUUUCCCUCUUUUGUUUCAUGAGAUGAUGUGCUUUGAAAAGUUUUCCUGAAGGUGUUUGAAAGUGCUGUAGAUCCUGCUACAGUGACUGAAAUGCUUGGAAGUGCUCUUAUUUCCUAAUUAUUAAGCAGUUUGUUCCAGGGAAAGCCCACAAAACCAAAUAGUCCUUGCAUUGCUUUCUAUUGAAGGUAGUUGUACAACAGUGAAUUUCUCUGCCAGGGCCAAAACAGAACAGAGAAUCAAAGAUCACCCAAAUGAAGGAACUGAUCACUAACACAAUGCGAGACAUCAGUGAACAGGGGUGAAAGCUAUGGAAGGCACACAAGGUCCUUGGAAUCACAAGCUCCUUCUCUUAAACACUGGACACCACUUCUGUGAACUCUGCAGAGAAAAUCAGCAGCAGCCAUCAAGACUGAACCUGGGGUCUGCUGAGUGCAAAUCAGAAAAUGAGGACAGACCAUCUUUUGUUAUCAGAUAUGGGAAACCACUUAAUAACAAAAACUAAACCUCCACGUGCUCACAUCCAGAAAUGCUGCCGGAUUCAACUGCAGAUCAGCCCUGGCUUUCCCGGUGCUAUCGUUGCAAGAUCAGACAGCAACUCUCUACUCCUCCUGGGUCACCUGUCCUGCCUUCCACUCCUUAUAAUCUUCCUUUUUAUGCCUGAGUUCUCCUGGGAGCACCUUACUCACCCAUGCCGGUCUCCUGCUGCUUUUCUUUGAUUUCCUACUUGUUGGGAUGGAGCUUUCUUCACCUUGGAGGAGGUGAUCCUUGAAUAUCAACCAGCUCUUGUGAAGAACCCUCUUGUGAAAGAACCCUCUUCUUUCCUGGAACAUAUUCCAUGGGAUUUUGCAAAGCAGGCUCCUCAGGAGGCCCAAGUCUGCUCUCCUGACGUCCAGGGUUGUGUUCCUGGUUUUUGCCUUGAUAGGGCCUCUCCGGGUCCUGAACUCCAAUGCCUCAUGGUCACUCAGGAUGGCCCCGACCUCCACAUCCACAGCCAGUUCUUCCUGGUGUGAACUAACGGGUAGCGUAGCAUCCCAUGACCUGACUGAAACAUCCACGCAAUAUUUAGCAACAGAAACAGACUCCUAGUCUUGCUGACCUGAGUUUUGUCUUUAUACUCUUUGCCACGUCACUGCCAGAUGUGUUAAAGAAGAAUCACAGAAUCACAGAAUAUCUCAAGUUGGAAGGCACCUACGAGGAUCAUUGAGUCCAACUCCUCGCAGAAAUACCUCCAACUAAGUCAUACAACUAAAAGAGCAUUGUCUAGACACUCCGUGAACUCUGGCAGGCUUGGUGCCAUGACCACUUCCCUGGGGAGCCUGUUCCAGUGACCAAGGACCGUCUCAGUGAAGAACCUUUUCCUAAUGUCCCCUCUGAACUUGCCCUGACACAGCUUCUUUCCAUCUCCUCGUGUCCUGUUGCUGGUCACCAGAGAGAGGAGAUCAGCACCUCCUGCUCUGCUGCCCACCCUGAAGAAGUGGGCGGUGAGACUUGCUGAGACCACACAGAAGCUCCAGGCCCUACCUGGCUUUGGGGGACACCAGCAGUCCUUUGAGGGGAUUUAUAUUUUAGCACGGAGAGCAGAGAAAGGGUAGUGGCUGGCCGUCGGGACCACUGGUCUUGCACUGAGGAUGUAAUCAGUGCUUAGAAGAGGGAAAAGCGAGUCUUCUUCCUGCUUGGGGCCAGCGGUCAUCAAGCCAGCAGGAACCGGGAGCAGAGGACAUGUUUCUCCGAGGAAGAAAGAAACUGCCUCUCACAGUAGCAACUCUGAUGGCUUCCUUCAUAGCAUCAUUUCUUAACUUUUAAAAGAAGACGUCUUGCUUUAGAAUGCUUUUACCUGCAGAGAGUUGAGGGCGAGUGCAGGAAACCGAGAGUAGAAAAGUUGUUCUCGCUUCCAGAAAUAAUAUGUCACUUUAUGCUCCUAAAACUUGUGUAUGUCACUUUAUACUCCUAAAACUUGUGUAUGUUUCUCGCUGUACAUUUUGUCCUGAAAUGUUACGUUGUCUGGGAAGUCUCUCUUUAUGAAAUUAAAUCUAAGCAGCAGAGCAAA